CUCUGUUGGUUCUUGUCACUAAUGGGUUAAAACUAUUAUAUUAUUAAUUGAAUUAGCAUAAAACCCUAAAUUAUUCCCAAUUCACGAUUCCACUUAAACAACACAACCCCAUCUCAUCUGCCAAGCGCAACAUUGGUAAUUCAUUCUCCAUCUCUAGUCUUAAUCGUUGCUCAACUCGCUGGGAAAGACUUGGUGUUUGGCUUGCUCUUUUCCCAACCGUUUAUUUAUCAACAGGAACUGCAACAAUGUUAAUUCUGAUAAAAGGAGAUACAUUCAAACUAUUCUUCCAAAUAGUUUAUGGACUUCUCUGCUCCUCAAAUCCUCUAACAACAGUUGAAUGGUAUCUAGUGUUCACUUUUCUAUGCAUUGUCCUAUCACAACUCCCAAACCUCAACUCAAUUGUAGGGCUUUCACUACUAGGGGCUAUAACAACCAUUACUUACUCCACCAUGGUGUGGUUACUCUCUGUUAGCCAACAAAGGUCGCCAUCAAUCUCUUAUGAGCCUUUUUCAUUGUCAUCUUCUGCAGCUUCUCUCUUUUCUAUCUUUAAUGCACUUGGAAUUAUAGUGUGUUUGCAUUUAAAGGCCACAAUUUAGCUAUGGAAAUACAAGUAUAUGUUUAAAAUA